rnacentral:rRNA from 1 species
GGCAGCCUACGGGGCGCAGCAGUGAGGAAUAUUGGGCAAUGGGCGAGAGCCUGAACCAGCCAAGUCGCGUGAGGGAAGACGGUCCUAUGGAUUGUAAGCCUCUUUUGCCGGGGAGAAAAAAGCGGUACGUGUACCGCAUCGAGAGUACCCGGAGAAAAAGCAUCGGCUAACUCCGUGCCAGCAGCCGCGGUAAUACGGAGGAUGCGAGCGUUAUCCGGAUUUAUUGGGUUUAAAGGGUGCGCAGGCGGCGAGUUAAGUCAGCGGUAAAAGUUCGGGGCUUAACCCCGACGAGCCGUUGAAACUGG